rnacentral:lncRNA from 1 species
AUACAUAAAAAGAAUUCACUGGCUUUGUGAUACUGGGGGUCUUGUCUGGUAACACUUGAAGAUGUGGAUAGAUCUGGGAGAGGGGGGAUCUAUAGCUGGUAGCUGGAAUCAUCUGGAGAUGUCUUUGCUCUCAUGUAUGGUGGUUGAUGCUGGCUCUCACUAGAAUACGUACACAUGGCCUCCGGUGUGGCUUGGGCUUCCUACCUAACAGCAUGGAGGCCCUAGGGGAGUCUACCUUCUUACAGGACAGCUACAUUUGUUUGCUAGGGCUGUAUCACAAAAUACCACAACCCAAGUGGCUUAGAACAACUGAAAUGGAUUAUCUCAUAGUCUGGAGGCUGGAAGUCCAAAUUCAAGGUGUUGGUGAGGUUGGUUCCUUCUAAGACCUAUGAGAGAAGGGUGUGUUCCAGGCCUCUCUCCUGAGCUGGCAGAUGGCCAACUUCUUGUGUCUUCACACCGUCUUCCCUCUAUGUGUGUGUCUGUGUCCAAAUUUCCCCCUUUUAUAAGACUACUGGUCAUAUUGGAUUAGAAGCCACUCUACUGACUUCACGUUGACUUGAUUACCUUUAUAGAGACCCUAUUUGCAAAGAAGCUCACGUUCUGAGGUUCUAGAGGAUUAACACUCCAAUGUGUGAAUGGGGGUGAGUAGGGGAAUUCAACCCAUACUAACAACUCAGGGCUCCAAAGGCAAGUACCCCAAGGGAAUGAGGCAGAAAGCACAUGGCCUCUGCUGAGUGGCCUUGGAACUUGAACUUCAUUCUGUUGGUCACAAGCAGGUCACUAAAGUCAACUCGGAUUCAAGGCGAGGGGACAGAGACUCCACCUCUUAGAUGGAGAAAUGUCAAGGAACCUAUGGACAUUUUCCCCCCUGGGGUAGUUGUUAUCUCUAUUCCCCUUUUACAGGCAGAGAAAGCAAAUCUUAGAGUGCUGGAGUAAUUUGCUCAGGGUUGGAGAGUCAGUGCAUGGUGGAACUAGGCUUAGAUCUCAAUGCGGUAUGUUUUAAACUCCCCCAGUGUCUUUGUACAGCCUAACUCAGCCUCUGUGAGCACUGACUGACUCAUCUAUGAAAUGGUGAUAAGGAUACCCAAUCACAGAAUUGCUUUAAGGAUUGAAUGAGGUGAGUUAUGUUACAUGCCUGGCAUAUCACAGGAGCUCAAUUAAUGAUAGUUGUUCUUAUUGCCUGCCUGCCUUCCUCUCUUCCAUCCUUCCUUGCUUCUUUCCCCCCUUCCUUCCUCCCUUUCUUUCUUUCUUUGCUUCUUCUUCCUCUUCUUCUCCUCAUCCUCCUAUUACUUCUUUUUUCAUUCUCCUUCUCCAUUUCCCCCUCCUUUUUAAUUUUUUUAAAUGACCACAUCUGUAGCCUAUGGAAAUUCUUGGGCCAGGGACUAAAUCUGAGCCACAGCUGUAAUCUAUACUGCAGCCACAGCAACCUUAGAUUAUUUAGCCCACUGUGCCAGGCAGGGGAUCGAACCCACACCUGAGCCACUGCACCACAGUGGGAACUCCUCCUCCUUCUUUUUUUAAAAAAACAUAAUUGACAUAUAAUGUUAUACUAGUUUCAGGUGUAUAACAUGAUUUAAUAUAUGCAUAUAUUGCAAAAUGAUCACCGCAGUAGGUCUAACUAGACAUCCAUCACUACAUCAUUACAAUUUUUUCUCUUGUGAUGAGAACUUUGAAGAUGUUCUUUUUCUUAUUAUUAUUAUCAUUAAUCUUAGCAGUGGAAACAUAUUGUCAAGAACUUUGGGGGGUGGGAGUAAUGGAAAAGCAUCAGAUUGGAAGUGAAAAUCUCUGGCUCUUAAUUUCAGCUAUGGAUGUUUGCAACUGCUAACCUUUACUAUAGGCUUGUGAGGUACCAGCCUGAACUGGAGUAUUCCCCCGUUUGAUCCCAUCUAAACUUCACACCAGCUGGUGAGGGGCAGAGCUCAGAUUUGAACAAUUGAUCCCAUGCACUGAACUUCCACUUCGGAUCAACAACAUGUGAGAUUUUCUCUUCCAUCUAUAAACAUAUGUAACCUGCAGUCAUGUCCCGAUCCAUGUUCUCAUGUGGGCAAAGAUGAUUUCAUUUAUUUUUCCAUACUUGAAACUACUUCCUCUCUUCAGUCCCUAUUUCUCUCUGAUGACAGAAAUUAUAACUCAGUUAUUUUCAUGAAAACCCAGUAGAAUUCAGUUGUUUCUCAAUUUAGAUGAAAGCUCGUUGCAGGUUGGGGUUCUCUCCCCUGAGAUGACAGCUCAGUUCCACAGGGGAUUCAUGGAUCAUCAUGUUCAGGACAUUCCUGGUUCAUGAUGGUGGUGCAGACAAAACUAGGUCUUCCUAAAUCCCAUUUCAUUUCUUCCUGGGCACUCAGGAGGACUGCAUUUCCCAGCCUCUCUUGUUGUUAGGCUGGGGUCCUGUGAUUAAUGCUGGUCAAGGGGCUGUAUGGGGAAAUAAUGUAUGUCAUUAAUUUGCUAAGGCAAUGAAAAGCCCUCUGUGUGACUUUCCAGACCUCUUUUCUCCUGCUGAGGCCACCUAAGCAUACUGGAUCCCUGAGUCAUCACUUGGAAGGAAGAGCUGCGAUUGAUGAAAUCCAAAUGAAGGAGAAACAAACUUGGAUGUACCAAGCUACUCUACCUUGGGGUGUGUUUGUUACUACAGAAUAACCUGCCCUGUCCUGACCAUAACAAGUGUCAUCCUGUGCUGGCCCCCUCUGAGAUAUGCCCUGUUCAGUGUUGGCUAUCAAAAUUGAUUUCCACUGCUAUCUUGAAGCAACCACCACUUCCUCAUGUCAAUGUCUAUGGGUUUGAACAUACUUUGGCCUCUGCAUUGCAUGGCGCAAUCAGCUACUAUUGGUGACUGUUCUUGUCACGCCCCCAGCAUUCUUUGGGCCACCAGAUUCUACUCUCUUUUACUGUCAUAUCCAUCACAGGGGCAGAGGAAGUCUUGGCUACUCUCUUAAUCUCUGUAGGACUGCAGGAGACCCAACCUCAGCUUUUUCACUCAAGGAUGCCCACAGCCAUCUUUUCUCAACUGCUCUCUUACCAGGAAGCUUGUACAAAAUUUCCCUACAUUAGAUUUUCCCAGAAAUCUAAAUUUUAAAGCUUCCUCUGAUCCUAAGCCAUUUUGGAAGGACAGGCUCCCUUGCCCUUAGCAACAUGAAUCUGGUCUGCCUAGCAGAUGACGUAUAUGGAUUCUUCUCCUGUCCUCUUCUUCUAUUAUUUAGGUGAAUAAAAAUAUUGUUACACU